CGGCAUAAGGAUCCCAGUUCGAGCCCCGGCUCCCCACCUGCAGGGGAGUCGCUUCACAGGUGGUGAAGCAGGUUCCAGAUGCCAUCAGGAUGCCGGCCAGGCUUCCCUGGACUGAAGACCCCACCAAUGUGUCCUGGAGCUCAGCUUCCCCAGAGACU